GCACGGCCCAGACUCCUUACGGGAGGCAGCAGUGGGGAAUAUUGCACAAUGGGCGAAAGCCUUGAUGCAGCAACGCCGCGUGAGGGGAUGCGGCCUUCGGGUUGUAAACCUCUUUUAGCAGGGAAGAAGCGAAAGUGACGGUACCUGCAGAAAAAGCACCGGCUAACUACGUGCCAGCAGCCGCGGUAAUACGUAGGGUGCAAGCGUUAUCCGGAAUUAUUGGGCGUAAAGAGCUCGUAGGCGGUCUGUCGCGUCUGCUGUGAAAUCCCGAGGCUCAACCUCGGGCUUGCAGUGGGUACGGGCAGACUAGAGUGCGGUAGGGGAGAUUGGAAUUCCUGGUGUAGCGGUGGAAUGCGCAGAUAUCAGGAGGAACACCGAUGGCGAAGGCAGAUCUCUGGGCCGUAACUGACGCUGAGGAGCGAAAGGGUGGGGAGCAAACAGGCUUAGAUACCCUGGUAGUCCACCCCGUAAACGUUGGGAACUAGUUGUGGGGUCCUUUCCACGGAUUCCGUGACGCAGCUAACGCAUUAAGUUCCCCGCCUGGGGAGUACGGCCGCAAGGCUAAAACUCAAAGGAAUUGACGGGGACCCGCACAAGCGGCGGAGCAUGCGGAUUAAUUCGAUGCAACGCGAAGAACCUUACCAAGGCUUGACAUACACGAGAACGGGCCAGAAAUGGUCAACUCUUUGGACACUCGUGAACAGGUGGUGCAUGGUUGUCGUCAGCUCGUGUCGUGAGAUGUUGGGUUAAGUCCCGCAACGAGCGCAACCCUCGUUCUAUGUUGCCAGCACGUAAUGGUGGGAACUCAUGGGAUACUGCCGGGGUCAACUCGGAGGAAGGUGGGGAUGACGUCAAAUCAUCAUGCCCCUUAUGUCUUGGGCUUCACGCAUGCUACAAUGGCCGGUACAAUGGGCUGCAAUACCGUGAGGUGGAGCGAAUCCCAAAAAGCCGGUCCCAGUUCGGAUUGAGGUCUGCAACUCGACCUCAUGAAGUCGGAGUCGCUAGUAAUCGCAGAUCAGCAACGCUGCGGUGAAUACGUUCCCGGGUCUUGUACACACCGCCCGUCAAGUCAUGAAAGUCGGUAACACCUGAAGCCGGUGGCCUAACCCCUUGUGGGAGGGACCCUUUU
rnacentral:rRNA from 1 species